rnacentral:lncRNA from 14 species
CUCCAGUGACUUUUCUCCUGAUGGCAGUGCUGCUGUGGAGUUGGUGACACCAGGGCACACAGGAGAGGCUCCCUGGGAAGUCAAAAAGGACAGAAAGCAUCAGCCAUUCCAGGAAAUAACCUGUCUUUACACAUUUCCUCACGUUUUGGCUUGUAUAGUGUGAUUGCAGGCACCAUGAUGAGAGAAGAGAAAAAGCAAACACCCCCCGUUUUGCUGAGCCCCAGCAGGGUGAGCAGAGGGAAAAGGUGCUUCAGGGCAGGAAGAAACUAUGAAGAAAUAGGUUUGCAAGCUCCAUUUAUAUUGGAUUGUUUGGAACUUGUCCUGAGAGCUGCCUUCUGGGGACAGCUGUCCUGCUGUGAGGAGGGAGCACAGAGAUGAGUGUGGGGAGAAGCUGUGUGGGG